UUGGAACAAAAAGGUGUCAUUUCACUACACCACAACCUCAGAACAACGUUGGACGGUCUGUCGGUAUAAGACGUUUUACCGUCAGACACGCCAUCGAUGUAGAGAUAUACCGUCAGAUUAAGUUAGUCGCUAUAAGCCCUGUCGGUAAAAGUUUUACCGACAGACUACCCUUUCAACGACAGAUAGUCUGACGGAGAGAAAAUCACCGACAGACAGUCCGAUGGAGAGAAAAUCACCGACAGACAGUGUGUUACCAGUUAUGCCGACACACCGUGCGAUGUUAUAAUUAUAUUUACCGACAGAUUGUCCAACAGAAAGUUUAAAACUAAAUAAAAAAAUAAAAUGCAGC
rnacentral:lncRNA from 1 species